GGUAGCUAUGAUUUAGUUUUAAUCUUACUGCUGACAUGGGAGAAAUUAGGUUGGGAUUCUGGCUGUUUGGGAUAGUAAAAGCAGUCUAAGAAGAUAAAUCAAAGAGAAUUUGAGGGACUGUGAGUGCAAUGGAUCAAAACAAAGCAAUUCUUUCCCCAUCUCCUUCUCUGCCCUCUUUGAGCCUGCUGUAAGUUGCCCCUAGCAAUUAUUUUUUAAAAAGGAUAGUCAUGCUUAGUAGGACUGUCUUCUUCUAAACUAAUGCCAGUACAUUGGUAAUAGCAGCAAGGAAACAGACCAAACACUAAAAAAAUCUGUUCUUUGUUUUCUGCGGGAAGAAAUUAAGAUCUGAUGGUAGGGAUUUUUCUUAAGCAGCAGAAAGUAAAUUGUUUCAAAGCCAUGUGUGUUCCAGCUCUGUGUAUAGUUAUAUUCUGUGAUAGACUAAAUCAUCUGCAUUGGAAGCAAUGGGAAUUGGAUUAUAGUUCAAUUAUUUUGGUAGUGUAUGGCUUGAAAUAGAUGAAUAAGAGCCACUACUUAUUGUAAUAAAGGGACAGAAUGUGUAACUGUGUCCCCCAAAUGUGUGGGAUGAUGACUAGAGGGGACUCAGUUCUGCAGGACUCUGAGUUCUUGGAGUCCUGGAAGCCACUUAAAUUCAUGCUGAACAUACAGUGAGGGUUGCCCUUCACCCCAAGAAACCUGCAGACACUGAUGUAAAGAGCUGUGGUUACCAGCAGCCUGGAAGGAGUGAGGGUCUGCCUGGCUGGGACGAAGAUGGAUGAGCUGGGGCUCCAGCAGUGGUGGCUGAAUGGGCUCUAAAGCUGCUAGUGAAUUCCCAGCAGGACAGACUAUUCCUGCUUUCCAGAGUUCAGAAGCAGGUUUUUACAGGAAUUUGAGCUUUACCCUUUUCCUUCAGAGGAAGUAAGCUCUUAUAGCAUUCUCUAAGAAAAAAGAGGGAAUAAUUAUAACUAUUUGAGAAAUCAGAUUUCUGUGAUUUCCCUGCAGCUCCCUUCUGCAGUGAGGGGCUGGAGUGAUAUGGGAGGGAAGGGCUGUCACAGCCAGUUCCUGGAGUUCAGGCGUUGUGAUACACUCCUGUAGAGUUCAUUCCUUAACAAGAAAUGUCGUGGUAGAUGUAUUAUGUACCUGCUCUGACACGUUCCUGCAGAAAAUAUUCUAGUCACCAGCAACUGACCCCAUGUGAAUUGAAAGACUUAUUUAUUAGGAAAUCAGAUGAAAGGUAGCUUUAUGCAAGCCAGCUAGAGUUGUGAAAGGAAGCCACAUUCUAGAUGAAAGGGAACACUUAGUCCAAAGUAAAAUAUGUACUGUGUUUGGUCACAUCCCUGGCAUGACGGAGGAUGGCUUCCUACCCACAAAUGAUGAUAUUGUCUUCAGAUAAUUGCUCCCUUAUCAGAUAAAUCACUGAAUUUCUCAUUAAAAAAUGAGUAUAUUCUUCUUGAGGGUUGCUGUGGUGUCAGUCCAUGAUGUGUGGGUGGGGAUAGAGCCCUGCCACGAUGCCAAUGAACCCGGCCAGUUCUGCUGGGAUGCUGGGCUUAGUGCUUCCCAACAGUUUCCUUUUGUUUGCUUUCACAGCCAUUUCAGGCAGCACUGAAAAAGUCCACUAAGCCCAGUAUCUCUUGCUCCUGCUGCAACAGUGGGAGCUGUGUGUCCUGGUGCUGCCAGCUCUCCCUCUGCACCACGUGAGGAGCAAUCAUGGCCUCGUUGGAAACAGCUCAAGUCUGUGAGAGUUCACAAGAUUGGAAUAUUGCACUCACAAAGUACAACCAAGAUGAUGUAGCAUCCAUCACUUCAGCACAAACAGAUGCAUUUUCACAGACUUCUUGGGAAGAAGAGCAUUUCAGCCAGCCUGUCUGCCCUAGAGUACACAGGGUUCAUCUGACAAGACUGAGUCCUGCUGAGCUGGGGGCAUGGGGGACAGGACUGCACCACCCUUUGGAAAUCAAAUACAAAAGGAAUAUUGGAAAGGAACUGAAGGAAUGAGCAUCAAACAAUCACCUCCUUUUCCAUCAUCUCCUCCUGUUGUCACUGUAAUCCCCAAUACAAGCUGCUUCAAAAUGCAGAGAGCCUUUCAGAAGAUUAUCUGUAUCAAUGCAGGCUUUGAAGUACGGGCUGCUGGCAUCUCAUUACAGACAGAGAUCAAACCUCUGAGAUUAACGUGGUCCUGGGCCUGCUGGACUUCAUUCACACAUCACAGAAGUGCUAAGCUAUCAAAGUGCAGGGCUCUGUCUGUGUGUUACUUUCUCAGCCAUAAAUCCAGCAGCACGAACCCACUGACAUUUAUUUUUUUUUAACAAAUGAGUCCUUUCGGCCUGUAAGGUGUCUGUUUCUUCAUGGGGCUGAAUACAGUUUGGGAAACUGAAACAGCCCAAACUGAAAGAUAAAUUGAAGUAAUAUCCUUGGGGUAUUUGGGCCGGAUGUUGACUGUAUCCUUUUCUUUUGGGAAAGAAAACAGGAAGCCAUUUGAACUUCAGCCUUGCCCACUGAGGACAAAUCCAGGAUGUAAAGGGCAAUCCUGGUGCCAGGCAUUUUCUGCUCUGUUCUGGGACUCGUGGCAGUGCAGGCUCCAUGCCAGGACGAGUCAGUGCCUGCACAUGCUGCUUUGAGUUAGCUUAGAGACAGCAUGUCCCCACCAGCCCAUCCCACUCCAGCCACCAGUCCCUUGAACAGCAGAUGCUAAAGUACAGGAGGUGGGUUUGCUUCCACCUCAAAAUAUUCUGAAGAUGGGAGAUGACUACAAGCCAUUCUAUCUCCUGUACUACAACUGCAUUUAGGGCAGGGUUGUACUAAUAAGUUGUGCCAGAGCCUGAAGGCUCAGGUGUGCCAGCUCUCCCCACCACUGCAGCAGCAGCUGGGAGCUCACAGAGGCCAUUUCCUGCUUCUGGGCUGGAAUUUGCAGGUCAUGUUUAGCCUUCUGCUGCCAUUACCACGUAGCAAACUCAAAAUAGUUGUGAAAUGCAACAACAGCAUUCAGGAGCAGUUUUAUUAAUGAAAUCUACUUGCAUGCUCCCAAGCACUGUGAGAGAUGGCUGCCUGUCUGGAUGGAAUUUUUCUAGCUGGAUCCGCAUGUGUGCCUUGCUGAAGGAGCAGUGACACAGUUCUGAGAGGAUUGUGCUGGGAAGGAUGUUUGACUUUGAAGUUGGGGUCACCCACAUGCCUAGCAGGCACAUCAAUAUCAUAUGCAAGAUGUUCCCAUCCAAGGGGGAGAGCAGAUGAACAGGUUUUUUGAAGCUAGCAGGAAAAGAAAGGAAAAUCAGCUAAAACUGCUAGGCCAACAUAGUGCUGCAUAGAGUCUUGAAGGUAACCAGGACCUGGUGGAGAUAUGUCAGCAUCUCAACAGGAUGAGCC